rnacentral:pre_miRNA from 1 species
AGCCUUCUGCAUCCGUGCUGAUAUUUCGUCACAUACCGCACUACAAGGGCUGAUGAGAAUCCCGAGAUAAGUGAAUCG